GGCAGAGAAACCAAAAGGCUUGACGUCUUCCAGCUCCUCCGCUUCGUCAUCGGAGUGGUCGUUAAACUCCUGAAAAUCAGUCUCAAAUUCGUCAUCCAGGUCAACGACCUCAGAUCUCAGCGGCUUCGAGUAUAAAUCGCUAGUGUUCUUCUUAUUAUUCUUCUUCUUCUUAUUAAUGUCCUUCUUGGUACCAGGGAAAUCGGCGCCGGUUCCCCAGAGCAAGUCGGCUGUUAGCCGGCGAGACGAUCGGCUCGGAGGUAUAAAAUCGGAAAUGAUAGCACCGCCACACAUGGC
rnacentral:lncRNA from 1 species